GCAGACAUGUUGACAUGUCAUAAUAGGAAAAGCAAAGGUGUAUUCAAAACCAUUAAUAAUGGCUGCAUUCCACUUAGGAGAGGCGCUGGUACUGUGUAUGCUGACUCAAUAAAAUAGCUUACUAGGACACUUGAUGGAACUGAGCCAAGGUUAAGGAGAUUAGCUGCA